UUUCACUUUCACAUUCUCACAUUUCUUUGUGACGCGGAUGGUUUUCUCCUCUUAAGCUCCACUUGCUGAGGACUGGAGGCAGCUGUUCCCGCCUGAAUCAGCCUGUGGAGGAGGCGGAGAUGAGCCGCUGCUCUCCCGCUGUCUGAGCCACUAAAUGCGGCCUGAGCUCUGCCGGACAGCCGCUGGAGAACAGCUGUGACUCUCUACCUGUGAGUAAAGAGACUGACUCACCUCACAUCAGCCUCUUUCUGGUGAUUUCUGUAGUUGUGAAUCACGUCACUGCAGCUUCAUGACGCCAUCUAGUGGACGGAUGGUAGAAGUACAGCAGCUGAUGGCAGCUUCCUCUGCCUCACACUGAUAUGAAACAGAGAAGAAGAGCCAAUCAGUGGAGGAGCAGCUGGAGAAAUGAUGUACAUUUGAGUUGAUGUGCAGAUGAAUGAUGUGUGUUUCUCUCCACAUGAAGGUAGAAAGUGUGUGUGAGCUGAUGUGGAUGUGAACUCAGCAGCAUGGAUCAGUGUGAGGACAGAGAGGAGGGAGCCCCUCCCUCUAACAUGUCAAAGGAUGUUAUCAUUGAGUUUAAAGGGCGACGUCCAUCAGCUGAUCAGAUGUAAGCUGUAACUGACAGUGAGACUCAGUGAGCUGAAAGCUACAAAGCAGUUUGUCGUCGUAAACUCAAAUGUAACCUGAAGAAGAAGUUCCAGUUUGUGUUUGAGGGGAUUUCUAAAGCAGGAAACCCAACCCUUCUGAAGCAGAUCUACACAGAGCUCUACAUCACAGAGGGAGGGACUGGAGAGGUCAAUGAUGAACAUGACAACCACUCUGUGGAUCCAUCUUCUGUUUCAUGUCAACUUUUCUCUCCUUCUUUCUACAUGUUUGCUCUUUUCUCUGACAUCUGUCAUGUCAUCUACUCCCUGCUGGUCCUCACUUGUCCUGUAGUUGCCCUCAGUGUGUUCCCACCAUCUCCAGUCACCUGAUCCCCUCAUCCAGCAAGUAGAGGAAAUAGUUUGGGUGUUGAAGACGUCAGUUGAUGGAUUAUUAGUUGUCAGGUUUCUCAGCGUGUCAGAGUCGGAGCAGGAAGCUGCUGCAGCAGCCUGCACACACAGAGGACUGGUGAAGGACAACAAGCAGAGGAUUUCAGCUCAUGGUUUCUUCAC